UGGUUAAACAAAAAGAGCACAGGGAGGAUGCCUUGGCACUGGGAGCCGAAGAAAGACGUGACAAGCUGCGAAAAUCUGUGGGGAGGGGCAAAUACCCAUUGAUCCACAGGUAUCUGAAUGGGGCAACCUAUCCGGGGAAAGCCCGGAUAUGCCGCAGCCAAUACAUAACUGCGGCAGGGGAACCCGGCGAACUGAAACAUCUAAGUAGCCGGAGGAAAAGAAAGAAAGAUCGAUUCCGGAAGUAGCGGCGAGCGAAACCGGAAAAAGCCCAAACCACAGCACGAGUGCUGUGGGGUUGAGGACUGCAAAAGGCAAAACUCCAGCCACCCGAACGGAUUUGGGAAAUCCGGCCAUAGAGCGUGAAAGCCGUGUAGGGGAAGGCAGGAAUAAGCUGGCAGUAUCCAGAGUACCAUGAGACACGUGGAACCUCGUGGGAAGCAGGGGGGACCACCCCCCAAGGCAAAAUACUACCCAGUGACCGAUAGAGAACAGUACAGUGAUGGAAAGGUGAAAAGGACCCCGGGAGGGGAGUGAAAGAGAACCUGAAACCCUGUGUUUACAUACUGUGGAAGCAUACAAUAGUGUGCGACCGCGUACUUUUUGUAGAACGGUCCGGCGAGCUGCACGUGCCGGCAAGGUUAAGCACUAAAAGUGUGAAGCCGUAGGGAGACCAAGUCCUAAUAGGGCGUCAAGUCGGUAGGUGCAGGCCCGAAACCGGGUGAUCUAUCCAUGUCCAGGUUGAAGUCCGCGUAAAGGCGGAUGGAGGACCGAACCCACAUCCGUUGAAAAGGGUGGGGAUGAGGUGUGGAUAGGGGAGAAAUUCCAAUCGAACCCGGAGAUAGCUGGUUCUCCCCGAAAUAGUUUUAGGACUAGCCUGCAGGGAGUCUGGCGGAGGUAGAGCACUGGAUUCUUGCGGGGGCGUCAAAGCCUACCAAGAGAUACCAAACUCCGAAUGCCGCACAGAUGAUCCUGCGGAGUCAGGCCGUAUGAGAUAAGUCGGACGGCCGAGAGGGAAAGAGCCCAGACCCGCAGUUAAGGUCCCAAAGUAUGCGUUAAGUGGAAAAGGAUGUGAGAUUUCCCAGACAGCUAGGACGUUGGCUUAGAAGCAGCCAUACGUUUAAAGAGUGCGUAACAGCUCACUAGUCGAGAGGUCCUGCGCCGAAAAUGUCCGGGGCUAAAACGCAGCACCGAAACACGGGGAUGCCGCAAGGCAUCGGUAGGGGAGCAUUCCUGAGAGCAAAGAAGCUGUGCCGAAAGGGAUAGUGGAGUUACAGGAAGGGAGAAUGCCGGAAUGAGUAGCGAGAGUGGGGUGAGAAUCCCCACGGCCGAAUAUCCAAGGUUUCCCGGGUAAAGCUGAUCUGCCCGGGGAGAGUCGGGACCUAAGGCGAGGCCGAAAGGCGUAGCCGAUGGACAACAGGUGGAAAGUCCUGUACUGUAAGCAGUCAGAAAUGUGGGGACGCGGAUAGCGAUACCGGACCCGGGUAAGCAGUAUCCGGGGUAAAUACAGUUUAGGGAAGGGAGGAAAAACCCCCUUUAGAAAUAAGCUGUGUGAGUCCGAGCGAACAUAAGUAGCAAAGCCGGAGUAGAGUCCGCCAAGAAAAGCCGCUAUAAAGCUGCCUACACCCGUACCGUAAACCGACACAGGUGGAUGGGGAGAGAAUCCCAAGGCCGACGGGAGAAGCAUCGUCAAGGAACUCGGCAAAAUGACCCCGUAACUUAGGGAGAAGGGGUGCCGGCAUUAAAAGCCGGCCGCAGAAAAGAGGCCCAAGCAACUGUUUAGCAAAAACACAGGUCUAUGCGAAACCGAAAGGUGAAGUAUAUGGGCUGACGCCUGCCCGGUGCCGGAAGGUCAAGAGGAGGGGUGAGGGAAACCAAAGCUCUAAAUCCAAGCCCCGGUAAACGGCGGCCGUAACUAUAACGGUCCUAAGGUAGCGAAAUUCCUUGUCGGGUAAGUUCCGACCCGCACGAAAGGCGUAAUGAUUUGGGCGCUGUCUCGACGAUGGACCCGGUGAAAUUGAAGUGCCAGUGAAGAUGCUGGCAGCCCGCGCCAGGACGGAAAGACCCCAUGGAGCUUUACUCCAGCUUGGUGCUGGGACACGGUAGUGCCCGUACAGGAUAGGUGGGAGGCUAUGAAGCAUUGGCGCCAGCCGAUGCAGAGCCGAUGUUGGGAUACCACCCCCGCACUACCGGGUUUCUAACGCAGAGCCGUAAACCGGCAUGCGGACAAUGCCAGGCGGGGAGUUUGACUGGGGCGGUCGCCUCCGAAAGGGUAUCGGAGGCGCCCAAAGGUCCCCUCAGGAUGGACGGAAACCAUCCGCAGAGUGCAAAGGCAGAAGGGGGCCUGACUGCGACAGCGACGGCUGGAGCAGGCAGGAAACUGGGGCUUAGUGAUCCGGUGGCAGAAAGUGGGAUUGCCAUCGCUCAACGGAUAAAAGCUACCCUGGGGAUAACAGGCUUAUCACUCCCAAGAGUUCACAUCGACGGAGUGGUUUGGCACCUCGAUGUCGGCUCAUCGCAUCCCGGGGCUGUAGCAGGUCCCAAGGGUUGGGCUGUUCGCCCAUUAAAGCGGUACGCGAGCUGGGUUCAGAACGUCGUGAGACAGUUCGGUCCCUAUCCGGCGUGGGCGCAGGAAGUUUGAGGGGAGCCGUUCCUAGUACGAGAGGACCGGGACGGACCGACCGCUGGUAUGCCUGUUGGGGAGCAACCCCAUGGCAGGGAAGCCAAGUCGGGAAGGGAUAAACGCUGAAAGCAUCUAAGCGUGAAGCCCCCCCUAAGAUGAGACCUCCCGCGCGUAAGCGUUAAGACCCCUUGAAGACUACGAGGUUGAUAGGACGCAGGUGUAAGUGCAGCAAUGUACUAAGCCAGGCGUUACUAAUAGGUCGAGGGUUUAACCAGA
rfam:Johnsonella ignava ATCC 51276 genomic scaffold supercont1.18, whole genome shotgun sequence.